AGCCACAGCCAUAUCACUCUGCAGCCCAAGAUCGGUUACUCACUGAAGCUAAGCAGGGCUGAGCCUGGUCAGUACCUGGAUGGGAAACCACAUGGAAAAAAAACUAGGUUGCUGUUGGAG
rnacentral:rRNA from 1 species